rnacentral:misc_RNA from 1 species
AGCAAUUGACGCGAAUCGCGGGAAAAGCAAAUUGCUGGAAACGCAGAGCUGUAGUGGCGGAGCUUGCACAACACUUCCCCAGACGACACUUGCCAAAUGAAAAUGAACUCCGCCCCGAUUGCGGCCAAUUGCCGACCAUCUGGGGACCACACAGGCCGCACUAGCGGACUUCCGGAAACCGCUUCCAACAGCCUGGGUGCUUCCCCAGCGCGGUGCCGCCAAACGAAUGCUAAGCCAUCUUCUGUCGUGAAUCCUACACGAUGACCGUCGGGCGAGACGGCCGCUCCGAUCGGGUGGAGAUGACGCAGAUUUGCGCUGACAGUGCGGC